rnacentral:rRNA from 1 species
CAGGCCUAACACAUGCAAGUCGAACGAGAAAGGGGAGCAAUCCCUGAGUAAAGUGGCGACCGGGUGAGUAACACGUGACUAACCUACCCUCGAGUGUGGAAUAACAUCGGGAAACCGAUGCUAAUACCGCAUAACAUCGGCGCUUCUCAAGAAGUGACGAUCAAAGGAGCAAUCCGCUUGACGAGGGGGUCGCGGCUGAUUAGCUAGUUGGCGGGGUAACGGCCCACCAAGGCGAAGAUCGGUAGCCGGCCUGAGAGGGCGCACGGCCACACUGGAACUGAAACACGGUCCAGACUCCUACGGGAGGCAGCAGUGGGGAAUUUUGCGCAAUGGGGGAAACCCUGACGCAGCAACGCCGCGUGGAGGAUGAAGCCCCUUGGGGUGUAAACUCCUUUCGAUCGGGACGAUUAUGACGGUACCGGAUGAAGAAGCACCGGCUAACUCUGUGCCAGCAGCCGCGGUAAUACA